AUUGAACGCUGGCGGCAGGCCUAACACAUGCAAGUCGAACGGAGUGGCGGACGGGUGAGUAAUGUCUGGGAAACUGCCUGAUCGAGGGGGCUAACGUCCGGAAACGGGCGCUCAUACAGCAUACUAUCAGAUGAGCCUCGGUCGGAUUAGCUAGUUGGUGGGGUAAAUGCCUUCCAAGGCGACGAUCCGUAACUGGUCUGAGAGGAUGAUCAGUCACACUGGAACUUAGACACGGUCCAGACUCCUAGGGGAGGCAGCAUUGGGGAAUAUUGGACAAUGGGCGAAAGCCUGAGCCAGCCAUGCCGCGUGUGUGAAGAAGGUCUUCGGAUUGUAAAGCACUUUAAGUUGGGAGGCGUUACCAACAGAAUAAGCACCGGCUAAGUACGGGCCAGCCGCCGCGGUAAUUC
rnacentral:rRNA from 1 species